UUCCCGGGUCUUGUACACACCGCCCGUCACACCACGAAAGUCGGCAAUACCCGAAGCCGGUGGCCUAACCCGCAAGGGAGGGAGCCGUCGAAGGUAGGGUCGAUGAUUGGGGUG
rnacentral:rRNA from 1 species